rnacentral:rRNA from 1 species
CCUACGGGUGGCAGCAGUGGGGAAUAUUGCACAAUGGGGGAAACCCUGAUGCAGCGACGCCGCGUGAAGGAAGAAGGAUUUCGGAUCGUAAACUUCUAUCAGCAGGGAAGAAGAAAGUGACAGUACCUGACAAAGAAGCCCCGGCUAACUACGUACCAGCAGCCGCGGUAAUACGUAGGGGCAAGCGUUAGCCGGAAUCACUGGGGGUAAAGGGUGGGUAGGCGGUAGGGCAAGUCAGAUGUGAAAGCCCGGGGCUCAACCCCGGGAUGGCAUUUGAAACUGUAUUACUAGAGUGCAGGAGAGGUAAGCGGAAUUCCUAGUGGAGCAGUGAAAUGCGUAGAUAUUAGGAAGAACACCAGAGGCGAAGGCGGCUUUCUGGACUGUAACUGACGCUGAGGCACGAAAGCGUGGGGAGCGAACAGGAUUAGAUACCCGUGUAGUC